UGGCUGGUGGGUGCCCCCUUGCAGUAGUCAGGAACCGGAGAGAAAAGGGGUCCUUCACUGCUUGGAAAGCCUCUGGUAUCGAAAGGACUGUCAGACCGCUGGCACCGUGGCAGCUUUUGGCAGUUGGCGGAGGGUUCUGCACUGGACUCAACACCCUAGGCAACGGUGCCAUCUCUGGCUCAGGGAGGAAAAGUGGCCCAACACAGGUCUCACUGUAAUGGCAUCUCCCUGCUUGUCCUUUCUCUGCACUGGAAGGAAAUUGGUGCUCAUUCACAGAACAAUACAACAAAUUCUUAAACGGACGAUUGCAACAAUCAGCUUAAAAUCUAUCGCAUAAAUGAAGGGAAGUACAUGUGAAAUCUGUGGACAACCUACAUCCUUCAAAAGAAGCUAGCACAAAAAUUGGUUUAAAAAACCCCUUUAAACCCUCUGCAGCUCAAAGGCUCUGCUCACAACAGAAGCUUUUCAACAGCUCUCAUAAAUGCCUGGAAAGCUUGUUUUAAGUUUCAACGCUGAUUCCAAAGGAAAAAUAAUCAUUCAGCACUUUGCGCUACAGUGCUCACAAGCCAUCCUGAAUCUUCUGUAAGCCCUGUGACAUGUUCUUCAAGUAAUAGGUGAAAGCACAGAAUCAAUGAAAAAACAAUUUGUACACCAAAUACAAGUGGACACAGUAAUGAAGCAGAAAGACUGUAUUUUUAACUGGAAAGCCACAUUCGCUGAGUAAAUAAGCUUCUCUUGGAAAUAUAUAUGUAGACUCAAUGAGUGGAUGUUCGACACAGGAAUUUGUUUCCCUACUGGAAAUCUUUAAAUUAUCAAAUCCUUUUACCCAACAGGGACUUACGAAAAUGAAUUUGGAUUCUCAUCCAACAAUAAACAUUCAUUAUGUUAUUUUGAUCUUCAACUGUUACUAGAGCCAGUAUGCUCCCGCCCCCACCUUUUCUUUUUAAGUCUCCUACAAGGGCAUUUCAGUUCUAGAAGAGUUUAAAAAUCUGAGUUUUCAGCAUGAUGUUCAC